CGAGACUGCCGGUAAUAAACCGGAGGAAGGUGGGGAUGACGUCAAAUCAUCAUGCCCCUUAUGACCUGGGCUACACACGUGCUACAAUGGUUGGUACAACGAGUUGCGAGUCGGUGACGGCGAGCUAAUCUCCUUAAAGCCAAUCUCAGUUCGGAUUGUAGGCUGCAACUCGCCUACAUGAAGUCGGAAUCGCUAGUAAUCGUGGAUCAGAAUGUCACGGUGAAUACGUUCCCGGGUCUU
rnacentral:rRNA from 1 species